AAGGGAUUAUUCUUCUGGAAGACUCCGCUGGGGAUAAAGUCCGCUGGGGAUAGGUGGUAUCUUUCCAGGGAAUAAGAAUAUAGGGGAAAUCUAUCCUUGAUUUUUUUGCUUUAAUUAUCAUGGAGACUUUCUGUAUCUGAAGACUCUGCAGGGGAUUAUGGUGUCCGAUAUCUGGUUACGAGAUCUUUCCUCUAGGAGACUCU
rnacentral:lncRNA from 1 species